GAACUGCGAUAAGUAAUGUGAAUUGCAGAAUUCAGUGAAUCAUCGAGUCUUUGAACGCACAUUGCGCCCCCUGGCAUUCCGGGGGGCAUGCCUGUCCGAGCGUCAUUGCUGCCCUUCAAGCCCGGCUUGUGUGUUGGGUCGUCGUCCCCUCCGGGGGACGGGCCCGAAAGGCAGCGGCGGCACCGCGUCCGGUCCUCGAGCGUAUGGGGCUUUGUCACCCGCCCGAUAAGGACCGGCCGGGCGCCAGACGGCGUCUCCAACCUUUUUUUCUCAGGUUGACCUCGGAUCAGGUAGGGAUACCCGCUGAACUUAAGC
rnacentral:misc_RNA from 1 species